CCAAGAGGGCUGGGGACUGAAGCCUGGGGCAGGAUGUUUAGUUACUGCCCCAGCAGCCCAGCCGUCUGUGCCCAGCUCCUGAGGGCUUGCAGUAGAGAAUAUAAAGGUACCAUGAAAAAAUAGUGGGCCACCAAAGCGCUUCUGAGGGCUGCCAGUUGGCAACCUCUGAUGUGUGUGGGCGCCCAGUGUUGGCACCAUGGGAGAGGCCCACAGCAGACGGAAGCUCCCACGAGAACAGGAACGCGUGGAUGUCUUUCAGCACCUGCCUUUCUCCUAGCCAGGCCCUUGCAAGACCCCAGCCACCCCUCAGUCUGUCUCUGGAGCUGGGAAUGCCCACAGCACUUUGCUCUUUCAGAUGAAGUCACAGCUCAGGCAAUUCAUCUUACUCCUCCGUCAACCAAGUGACUGAGGUCCCCAGGGCCUGCCCACAGGAGCUUCAACGUGCCUGGGGUCAGAAAGAGAUGCUGGUCAUUAGGAACACCCCUGUGGGACCAGAACAUGGGGCAGGUGUGGUGGGGUGGUGACUGCAGGCUCCAAGGGAGGCCCCUCCAGGGAAGCAGUGAGGACCUGAGCAUCUAGAGCUGGUCCUCUGGUGCCAUCCAGUGGCCGUUUGUGUAAACUGCAGCCCCACACCACUGCCUGAUCACUCUCCAGAGCCGAAACCGCCAGGCGUCAGCAAAAAACCAGCGUCAUCUUGUGGCAGCCCUGGCAUAAUGUGGCUUAGGGUCUGUGAAGCCCAGAGGAAAAGACGACUCUGUUUUGGACUGUGCUCGCGGAGAGCCAGCCUCUCCCUCUCCAAAGCCACAGGGACCCUCAGCCUAGCCCCCAGGCCUGGGCAGCUCUGGAUAAAGGCAACACCGCAAAAGCUGUUGCCGACACAGCCCACACGGACUCCCCGCUGCAGGGAACUGAGAGCCAGGGCUAGUGAAGAAAGCGCCGGUAAAGACAGCGGCCUGUGCCCAUGCACCCCCAUCAUAAGCACCGGUGUCAUCUUUUGAAGGGGACUGUGCUGCCACCUGGUGGCCACACCAGGACAAUGCCCCUGGAAGGACUCUAAGUUCCCGUGGAAGGCCCCUUUUCCCCGUUUGGGACUCCCACCACUGAGCCCACUGCCUUGCUUUACAGAGGAAGUCAGUUUCCCCAAUCAAGCAGCAACAUUCUGGAAUAAAUGCCCCUAUUUCCU